CUAAAACAAGAGCAUCAGAUCCUUUCAUGAUUCUAAGUCUCUUACAAGAGGAAGAGAACAUAUCCCAUGGAACAUCACCAACCAACAUCCAAUCUCCAUCUUUAUCCUCGUACGUUGGUAAAACUCCAGAUCCUUUGUAUCCUUCUCUUUCGCUGUAUUCACCGAUCGUGAACUUGAACAUGUUCUCCAACGCCUUGAGAAGCUCUGGAUAGUUUUUGUAUGUUUUGAGAUCUAUUUUACGGAGGUAUGGAGCUCCGUCCAUACUCACUUUCACAUAGCUAACACUGUUGUUGUUCUUACGGUAAGAUCUCACCGGAGGCCAACCAACUAUUUGACUUCUGUAAAUUAGCAACGAAUCAUUAUUAGUACAUUUUCAUUAGAUAAAAAAUAUGAAAUAAUAUAUUGAAACUCAGAUCUUUACUUACUUUGUAGGAGGUGUAGAUUCUUCCUCGUUAUCGCUUUGUAGUUGACGCUUGCUGCUUCUAACGCAAGAAACCUCUUGUUCUUCUUUAGCUUGUUCUGUUCCAGGUAAUCCAAGACGAAGCUCUGUGUCCUUAAGGUUAAGCUCAUUGACUUUCUCAUACGCCAUUGUUUUUUUCAAGAUCAAGAAGUCGAUCUCUCUAUGUUCUUGUGUGGUU
rnacentral:lncRNA from 1 species